rnacentral:rRNA from 1 species
UACGGGGGGGGCAAGCGUUGUUCGGAAUUACUGGGCGUAAAGGGCUUGUAGGUGGCCAACUAAGUCAGACGUGAAAUCCCUCGGCUUAACCGGGGAACUGCGUCUGAUACUGGAUGGCUCGAGUGUGGGAGAGGGAUGCGGAAUUCCAGGUGUAGCGGUGAAAUGCGUAGAUAUCUGGAGGAAUACCGGUGGCGAAGGCGGCAUCCUGGACCAUUACUGACGCUGAAUCGCGAAAGCUAGGGGAGCAAACGGG